rnacentral:rRNA from 1 species
UAGCAUAUGCUUGUCUCAAAGAUUAAGCCAUGCAUGUCUCAGUGUAAACACUAGUAUUGUGAAACUGCGAAUGGCUCAUUAAAUCAGUGAUGAUCUCUUUGAUAGUGCGUUUUGGCACAUGGAUAACUGUGCUAACCGUAGAGCUAAUACAUGCCCAGAUCCCCAGACCUUUGUGUUUGUGGGAGCAUUUAUUAGAUUCGAACCAACCUGGUGCAUUUUUUUGUGCCGGUGCGGAUGAAUCAUAAUAACUUUGCAAAUCACAGAGCCCUUUUUGGGCGGUGAUGCAUCAUUCGAAUCUCUGCCCUAUCAGCUUUGGAUGGUAGUGUCGUGGACUACCAUGGCGAUAACGGGUAACGGAGAAUUAGGGUUCGAUUCCGGAGAGGGAGCCUGAGAAAUGGCUACCACAUCCAAGGAAGGCAGCAGGCGCGUAAAUUACCCAAUCCUGACUCAGGGAGGUAGUGACCAUAACUAACGACGCUCGGCCAUUCGGUUGAGCGAUCGGAAUGCGAGAAGUUUUAAGCCCUUCUCGAAAGCAACUGGAGGGCAAGUCUGGUGCCAGCAGCCGCGGUAAUACCAGCUCCAGUAGCGUAUAUUAAAGUUGUUGCAGUUAAAAAGCUCGUAGUUGGAUGUCGGGAGACACCUCUUUGUUUAUCCGCCACUCUCGUGAGUGGUUGUGAUCGGGAGGAUGAAUCCUUAAUUUUUUGGCUGGAAUCGGGCAGUUCUGUGCAUUCAAUUGCAUGAGCUGUCGCUAACGGUUUCGGUCGUGUUACUGUGAAGAAAUCAGAGUGCUCAAAGCAGGCAUUUAAGCCAGAAUGGAUUAGCAUGGGAUAACCACCCUUGACCUCGUUCUUUGGGUGUUGGUUCAAAAGAAUGAUGGCGCUUGAUUAAUAGGGACAGUUGGGGGCAUUCGUAUUCCGAAGUCAGAGGUGAAAUUCUUGGAUUUUCGGAAGACGAACAUAUGCGAAAGCAUUUGCCAAGGAUGUUUUCAUUAAUCAAGAACGAAAGUUCGGGGAUCGAAGACGAUCAGAUACCGUCGUAGUCCGAACCAUAAACGAUGCCGACUAGGGAUUGGAAGAUGUGCAAUUUUUUUCGCCAUCUUUCAGCACCUUCCGAGAAAUCAAAGUUUUUGGGUUCCGGGGGGAGUAUGGUCGCAAGGCUGAAACUUAAAGGAAUUGACGGAAGGGCACCACCAGGAGUGGAGCCUGCGGCUUAAUUUGACUCAACACGGGGAAACUUACCAGGUCCAGACAUAGGAAGGAUUGACAGAUUGACAGCUCUUUCUUGAUUCUAUGGGUGGUGGUGCAUGGCCGUUCUUAGUUGGUGGAGUGAUUUGUCUGGUUAAUUCCGAUAACGAACGAGACCUUCACCUCUAAAUAGUGUCCAUCUCCUUAUCUUCUCUUUCGGGAGUCGAAAAAAAAGAGAUGAGUUGUGGAAAUUUUUUUCACAGGACACUUYUUAGAGGGACGAUGUGCGUUAGCACAAGGAAGUUGGAGGCAAUAACAGGUCUGUGAUGCCCUUAGAUGUCCUGGGCCGCACGCGUGCUACACUGACGGAUCCAACAAGUUUGCUCUUGACCUGGACCGAAAGGUUUGGGAAAUCUAGCAAUGUCCGUCGUGAUGGGGAUCGACCCUUGUAAUUUGGUCGUGAACGAGGAAUUCCUUGUAAGCGCGAGUCAUCAUCUCGCGUUGAAUACGUCCCUGCCCUUUGUACACACCGCCCGUCGCUCCUACCGAUGGAUGGUCCGGUGAAAUCUUCGGAUGCUCUAUUGUAUUCUUUUCCUUCGGGGAAGGGAUCGAGAGCAGAAGUUGAUUAAACUUUAUCAUCUAGAGGAAG